AUGAACCUUAGUCACACCUCCCUCCAUGUCACUUGCAUAGCCUUCCUAAACACUUCCUGUAAAGAGUAAUCUACAGCUUAUCCUUCCUUUAUUGGAAGUUCUCUUUAAUUUAGAUUUUCUUAUCCCCUGUUAUGUUAAUAGCUUGCUAGACCCUACAAGAGCCUCUUGUAUGUGAUUUAAAGUUCAAUUUACAGAGAAAGAGAUACAAUUGUUUAAGGUAAAUUACAUCUGUUUGAAAGUGAAACCAGUUUUUUU